rnacentral:pre_miRNA from 1 species
GUGUAAAGUUUUUUUAGAGCGUCAACUAAUUAGAUUGUAAGGAUAUGUCACGUCAAUUAAUGAAAUUAAAUAAAUAUUUUACACAUUCUUAAAAUCUGAUUGGUUGACGGUGUAAAUAAACUUUACAC